AUUCAUCUACCUUUGAUCUUGAAAGGAGUACUAAAGGCUUAAAUGAAGCAUUCUCAAUAAGAAACCCCCCCCCCCUAAACCAAAUUUUGUUUGGUUAGGGGGGGGAGGGGUAAUAGUUUUGACUUGAUGUUUUGGUGUAUCACAAGCUAAAACGUCAAGACUGCAUGACUACCAUGAAAUACUAUUAUUAGACUUGAUAUUUAGGUGUAUC
rnacentral:lncRNA from 1 species